CGGGGUGCAGCAGGCGCGAAAACUUUACAAUGCGGGAAACCGUGAUAAGGGGACACCGAGUGCCAGCAUCAUAUGCUGGCUGUCCAGGUGUGUAAAAUACACCUGUCAGCAAGGGCCGGGCAAGACCGGUGCCAGCCGCCGCGGUAACACCGGCGGCCCGAGUGGUGAUCGUGAUUAUUGGGUCUAAAGGGUCCGUAGCCGGUUUGGUCAGUCCUCCGGGAAAUCUGACGGCUCAACCGUUAGGCUUUCGGGGGAUACUGCCAGACUUGGAACCGGGAGAGGUAAGAGGUACUACAGGGGUAGGAGUGAAAUCUUGUAAUCCCUGUGAGACCACCUGUGGCGAAGGCGUCUUACCAGAACGGGUUCGACGGUGAGGGACGAAAGCUGGGGGCACGAACCGGAUUAGAUACCCGGGUAGUCCCAGCCGUAAACGAUGCUCGCUAGGUGUCAGGCAUGGCGCGACCGUGUCUGGUGCCGCAGGGAAGCCGUGAAGCGAGCCACCUGGGAAGUACGGCCGCAAGGCUGAAACUUAAAGGAAUUGGCGGGGGAGCACAAGGGCGAAUGC
rnacentral:rRNA from 1 species